rnacentral:rRNA from 1 species
UAACACAUGCAAGUCGAACAAGCCUUCGGGCUUAGUGGCGCACGGGUGCGUAACACGUGGGAAUCUGCCCUUUGGUUCGGAAUAACAGUUAGAAAUGACUGCUAAUACCGGAUAAUGACGUAAGUCCAAAGAUUUAUCGACCGAAGGAUGAGCCCGCGUAGGAUUAGGUAGUUGGUGGGGUAAUGGCCCACCAAGCCGACGAUCCUUAGCUGGUCUGAGAGGAUGAUCAGCCACACUGGGACUGAGACACGGCCCAGACUCCUACGGGAGGCAGCAGUGGGGAAUAUUGGACAAUGGGCGAAAGCCUGAUCCAGCAAUGCCGCGUGAGUGAUGAAGGCCUUAGGGUUGUAAAGCUCUUUUACCAGGGAUGAUAAUGACAGUACCUGGAGAAUAAGCUCCGGCUAACUCCGUG